UAAAAGUUAGUUAAAAUAUAAUAUAAGUUUGUCAUACUUAAGAUAUCUAAUUUAGAUACUUUUAA
rnacentral:tRNA from 1 species